CUAGCCCUCAUCCGUAAAAUGGGGCUUUGCUAGGGGUACUCUCAGUCCCCUCCAAGCACUAGUAUUCCCAGGUAAACCUACGAAUGAUGCCCAGUCAAUGUUUUUGUUUGGUUUUGUUGUUUUUUGCAGAGGAUGAGGGAAAAUGUCUGGACCACUGUUGGCCUAACAGUUCACAGAAAGCUGCCACUGUGCACUGGAAAGGAAUGAGAUGCCUGAGUAGCCCAGGAGGAUGCUGCCAAGGGGCACAGCAGAGUUCGCCUUGAAGCCACAGACUGGACCUUGAAUUCCAACCCAUCUGCCUGAUCAGUCAUCGAUGCUCCCCAUGCCUCAGUUUAUCAAUAAAAUGAUGUGUUGUGAUGACUAGUA